rnacentral:rRNA from 1 species
AGUUAGAGGGGGUAGACGCGAAACCCGGUGAUCUACCCAUGACCAGGUUGAAGUUGCGGUAACACGCAAUGGAGGACCGAACCAGUUGACGUUGAAAAGUCUUUGGAUGAGUUGUGGGUGGGGGUGAAAGGCCAAUCAAACCGGGAAAUAGCUCGUACUCCCCGAAAUGCAUUUUGGUGCAGCCUCGGACAAAAGUAUCAUAGAGGUAGAGCUACUGAUUGGGCUAGGGGGCUUCACCGCCUACCAACCCCUGACAAACUCCGAAUGCUAUGAUAUGUUCUCCGGGAGUGAGGGCAUGGGUGCUAAGGUCCAUGUCCGAGAGGGAAAGAACCCAGACCAUCAGCUAAGGUCCCCAAAUAUAUGCUAAGUUGACCAAACGAGGUCCGACUGCUUUGACAGCUAGGAUGUUGGCUUGGAAGCAGCCAUUCAUUUAACGAGUGCGUAACAGCUCACUAGUCGAGCGGUUGGGCGUGAACGAUAAAGCGGGCGAGAAACCCGCUCACCGAUAGACUAAGGUUUCCUGAUCAACGCUAAUCGGAUCAGGGUUAGUCGGGACCUAAGGCGAACCCGAACGGGGUAGUCGAUGGAUAACAGGUUAAUAUUCCUGUACUUUGUUAUACUGCUUAGAGGGGACGGAGUAAUGUAGUUGUUACGUGCUGACGGAAUAGCACGUUGAGCCUAGUCUUUGGACGAAGCGAAAUGAUGAACUUGCUUCCAAGAAAAGCCUCGAUGCUUCAGGUAUAACAGACCCGUACCGCAAACCGACACAGGUAGUCAAGGAGAGAAUCCUCAGGUGCUCGAGUGAUUCGUGGCUAAGGAACUAGGCAAAAUAACCCCGUAACUUCGGGAGAAGGGGAGCCCACCUCCGGGUGGGCCGCAGAGAAAUGGCCCAGGCGACUGUUUACGGCGGCCGUAACUAUAACGGUCCUAAGGUAGCGAAAUUCCUUGUCGGGUAAGUUCCGACCUGCACGAAUGGUGUAACGAUCUGGGCACUGUCUCGGCCACGAGCUCGGUGAAAUUGUAGUUCCGGUGAAGAUGCCGGAUACCCGCAACGGGACGGAAAGACCCCGUGAACCUUUACUAUAGCUUAACAUUGUUUUUGGGUAAGUGAUGUGUAGGAUAGGUCGGAGACUUUGAUCUUGCUUCGCCAGGAGUAAGUUAGUCAACCUUGAAAUACGACCCUUUGCUUAUUUGAAAUCUAAUCCCUCACGGGAGACAGUGUUUGGUGGGUAGUUUGACUGGGGUGGUCGCCUCCAAAAGCGUAACGGAGGCUCCCAAAGGUACCCUCAGCAUGAUUGGUAACCAUGCGUAGAGUGUAAUGGCACAAGGGUGCUUGACUGAGAGACCAACAAGUCGAUCAGGUGGGAAACCAGGGCAUAGUGAUCCGGUGGUUCCGAAUGGAAGGGCCAUCGCUCAAAGGAUAAAAGGUACUCCGGGGAUAACAGGCUUAUCACUCCCAAGAGCUCAUAUCGACGGAGUGGUUUGGCACCUCGAUGUCGGCUCGUCACAUCCUGGGGCUGGAGAAGGUCCCAAGGGUUGGGCUGUUCGCCCAUUAAAGUGGCACGCG